CCCUUUACGGGAUGUGUGUGCUGCCAUACUGAUGGCUGGGAGUAGGCGCUACAACGCGGAAAUGACCUUCUCACCCUUGUGUACUCACUAUGUUGCUUUGGCGGGUCGACCUGGUUCCGACCCAGGCGGCCGGCGCCCCCAGCCUUAACUGGCCAGGACGCCCGGCUAAGUGCCCGCCAGUAUACAAAACUCAAGAAUUCAUUUUGUGAAGUCCUGAUAUAUCAUUUAAUUGAUUAAAACUUUCAACAACGGAUCUCUUGGUUCUGGCAUCGAUGAAGAACGCAGCGAAAUGCGAUAAGUAAUGUGAAUUGCAGAAUUCAGUGAAUCAUCGAAUCUUUGAACGCACAUUGCGCCCUCUGGUAUUCCGGAGGGCAUGCCUGUUCGAGCGUCAUUUCAACCCUCAAGCUCUGCUUGGUAUUGGGCAACGUCCGCUGCCGGACGUGCCUUGAAGACCUCGGCGACGGCGUCCUAGCCUCGAGCGUAGUAGUAAAAUAUCUCGCUUUGGAGUGCUGGGCGACGGCCGCCGGACAAUCGACCUUCGGUCUAUUUUUCCAAGGUUGACCUCGGAUCAGGUAGGGAUACCCGCUGAACUUAAGCAUAUCAUAGGCCGGAGGAGAGCACCACUGAAAUGCAAUAACUUCUAUUGAAAGUCCAGAGUAAGGCUACAACGCCGAAAUGACUUCCUACCUUGUUGUACUCACUAUGUAGUUUGGGGGGG
rnacentral:rRNA from 1 species